CUGUUCUGCAGGUCUCACCGCAGAGGGGCACGCCAGCCAUGAGGACAGAUGAGGGAACACGUGAUGCCACGAUGGGGGUGCCAGGAUGAGGUUACACUGGCAUUCUCCCAAGUUUUUCAUCAAACUCAUGAAGCCUGCUGCUCCUUCAAUUCUCAAGGCGUUGGAGUGAGGCCGCCUGGGGUGAAUCGAAGCUUUCGGAUUUAUCAAAUGUGGUGUGAUUUCUAAGACGCCAUUGAGCCCUGCUAAAGGAGUUGCUAAUAUCCACCUCGUUCUGCGGUUAAGAAACCAACAGGAAAAAGAACGCACAACUCCCAGCACAGUGCUGGCGCCUGUGAGGCACUCAGCCGACGGGAGCUUUGUUCUUCGUUGUAUUGUGGCGGGGAAGCAACAUGGGGCCUUGUCCUGCGGACACACUUGAGUUAAGAUCACACUGGGGCUCCUUCAGGCCCUGGGCCAAGUUGGGGCACAGGCCGAGUUCGGUUGUUGCUGUAGCCUCAGAACCACCCAGAGUUGACUGAAGACACUCGGGGGCCUCCAUAACUGAGAGCAGGCAGAGGCAUUGUUUUUAACCCAGUGUGGACCCCCAAAUGGAACAUUUUCCUUCCCUAGGUGAACGCCUUCGGAACCCUCCGAAAAUCGCAGUUUCACUUUUAGCAAAGAGCCCCGCUGCAGCAGGGGAAAGCCCCCACAAACCCCGUCCUCUCCAAAGGGAAUGUUCCGAGCCCCCUGCUUCCUCCACCCUUCUCUUCCCCCUGGUUAAUUCCUUCGCUCCAGCUCGUUCUGCCUUCUUUCUUUCUUUGCCUUUUCGAGGCCCGCUCUUCUCUGAUUUUGAAGGGCUGGCGCAGGCUUGGGCACUUCUUUCAGGUUCUGUAUUGUAUGUCUGCCCUGUGGCUUCUCCUUUUGCAACUCCGAGCAACUCUGUGCUUGGAUUGCAGCUCCCAACAGUCCUGCCCUGACUUGCCCCAGUCACAGGGCAGAGAUGAACCAGGGACUGUACCCAGGGUUUUGAGUUCCUGCCAUAUUUAUAGCAUCAACUCUCCUUUAGCUCUUGGGAAAAAGGGUUUUAAAGUGCUGCAAUCUUCUAACACAAAAUUAUAUCAGUGCUGAAAAUGUGUUUUCCACUUAUACCCCAGCAGGAAAAAAAAAAAAGAUGAUAUCUGUUUCAGGUAAGAGUCAUGAUGACCUCAGAAAGCAAUAUCAGAAGCUAUCAAAAUGUUUAUACCUGUAUAUUCAGUAGUCCAUUCUGGAACAUUUCUCCAGUGGAUGUAAUCUUAGUCUUGGCACAAUAGAGUAUGAACAGAGAUGUUAAAUGUUAAAAGCAAUGGAAAUGUUCAGAAAUAAAGCAAUAUUUAAGUAAACAAUGAUAAUGCAUUCAAUAUAAUUUUAGGCAUUAACAUGAUGAUGUUUUAGAAUUAUGAAACCUAUGGAAAGGUUGACAAGGAAAACGCAGACAGCAUGCUUGAUAUAAACAUACAUUCAGCAUGAUUAUAACUAUGUAAAAUGUAAAAAAUGUUUUUAAAACAUUAGAAGAAAAUACACCAAGAUGCGUUUCCCUUGCUGUUGUUUCUAGUGGCUAAUUUUUGCAAUGUGUAUUACUGCAGUUAUAUCACCUUUACAAAUGGAAAGCUUAAAAAUAACUC
rnacentral:lncRNA from 1 species